UUCAACAGGGGUGAAAUCUGGAUAUACCAUGAAUUUUUUGAUUAAAGUACCUUUUAGGUGGUCAAAUGACUAGGAUUAGAUACCCUAUUAGUCCACUCUUAAUUAACCUGGGUAGUAGUAUCGAAACCUAAAGAAUUUGGCGGUUUCUAAACCUACUAGAGGAACCUGCCCCAUAAACGACAAUCCACGAAAAAAUUCACCCGGGCUAGUUAUGCAGCUUAUAUACCGUCGUUUAGAGGACUAAAUAAAUAGAUCCUCUUAAAAGCUUAGGCUAAUAAAUCAGAUCAAGGUGUAGCUUAUGCCCGGGAGAGGGUGGGUUACAAUGAAAAUUCAUACGGAGUUUCUAUUUUAUGAUAGAAAAGAAGGUGGAUUUAGAAGUAAGACCUAAUACACUGAAAAAGGCUCUCAGAAAUGUACAC
rnacentral:rRNA from 1 species